rnacentral:rRNA from 1 species
UACGUAGGGUGCGAGCGUUGUCCGGAAUUAUUGGGCGUAAAGGGCUCGUAGGCGGUUUGUCGCGUCGGGAGUGAAAACUCAGGGCUUAACCCUGAGCCUGCUUCCGAUACGGGCAGACUAGAGGUAUGCAGGGGAGAACGGAAUUCCUGGUGUAGCGGUGAAAUGCGCAGAUAUCAGGAGGAACACCGGUGGCGAAGGCGGUUCUCUGGGCCGGAACUGACGCUGAGGAGCGAAAGCGUGGGGAGCAAACAGG